rnacentral:rRNA from 1 species
UACGACUACAUAUCAGGCAUAUCAAUAAGCGGAGGAAAAGAAACUAACAAGGAUUCCCUUAGUAACGGCGAGUGAAGCGGGAAGAGCUCAAAUUUGAAAUCUUCAAGGUUUUACCUUGACGAAUUGUAGUUUAAAGAAGUGUUUUCUGUUGAAGUUUUGGUAAAAGUUCUUUGGAAUAGGACAUCAUAGAGGGUGAGAAUCCCGUAUUUGACCAUUAUUUUCAGCUGUGUGAUACACUUUCAAAGAGUCGGAUUGUUUGGGAAUGCAGUCCAAAAUGGGUGGUAAAUUUCAUCUAAAGCUAAAUAUUGGCGAGAGACCGAUAGCGAACAAGUACCGUGAGGGAAAGAUGAAAAGAACUUUGAAAAGAGAGUUAAACAGUACGUGAAAUUGUCAAAAGGGGAAGCGUUUGACACCAGUGUUGUUUUCUCGAAAAUCAAUUAAAAAUAGUUGGAUUUUGUGUUGUAUUGACCUUAACAGCUUGCUUCACUCUUUUCCAGCUUUUUUUAAUGCACUUUUCGUUUAACAAGUCAACAUCAGUUUCUUUUGUUGUAAAAGGGUCAUUGGAAGGUGGCUUUCUCUUCGGAGAAAGUGUUUAUAGCCUUUGAUCUCUGCAAUCGGAGAGACUGAGGUCUGCAGCGUAGAUCCUUCGGGGUUAGAUACAUUUGUGCUAAGCUACAGCUUUUCAUAGACAACUUGUUGACUAUGUUUAGUCUUGUAACUUACCCGCUUAUGCUAUUUUACCUACGCUUAGGAUGUUGAGCGCAUGUCUCUCUCU